UGGGGAAUUUUGGACAAUGGGGGCAACCCUGAUCCAGCCAUGCCGCGUGCGGGAAGAAGGCCUUCGGGUUGUAAACCGCUUUUGGUCGGGAAGAAAAGGCGCAGGCUAAUACUCUGCGUUCUUGACGGUACCGGCAGAAUAAGCACCGGCUAACUACGUGCCAGCAGCCGCGGUAAUACGUAGGGUGCGAGCGUUAAUCGGAAUUACUGGGCGUAAAGCGUGCGCAGGCGGUCCGCUAAGACCGAUGUGAAAUCCCCGGGCUUAACCUGGGAACUGCAUUGGUGACUGGCGGGCUAGAGUGUGGCAGAGGGGGGUAGAAUUCCACGUGUAGCAGUGAAAUGCGUAGAGAUGUGGAGGAAUACCGAUGGCGAAGGCAGCCCCCUGGGCUAACACUGACGCUCAUGCACGAAAGCGUGGGGAGCAAAC
rnacentral:rRNA from 1 species